GCACAACGCGAAGAACCUUACCUACUCUUGACAUCCAGAGAACUUAGCAGAGAUGCUUUGGUGCCUUCGGGAACUCUGAGACAGGUGCUGCAUGGCUGUCGUCAGCUCGUGUUGUGAAAUGUUGGGUUAAGUCCCGCAACGAGCGCAACCCUUAUCCUUUGUUGCCAGCGGUCCGGCCGGGAACUCAAAGGAGACUGCCAGUGAUAAACUGGAGGAAGGUGGGAUGACGUCAAGUCAUCAUGGCCCUUACGAGUAGGGCUACACACGUGCUACAAUGGCGCAUACAAAGAGAAGCGACCUCGCGAGAGCAAGCGGACCUCAUAAAGUGCGUCGUAGUCCGGAUUGGAGUCUGCAACUCGACUCCAUGAAGUCGGAAUCGCUAGUAAUCGUAGAUCAGAAUGCUACGGUGAAUACGUUCCCGGGUCUUGUACACACCG
rnacentral:rRNA from 1 species